ACACAAUGUUUGUACACACUGGUUAACCACAACAUUAAAACCAGUGAAGUGAAUUACAUUGAUAAUAUAAUUAAGGACUGUCAGGGUCUUGGGUGCCCAAGAUUCACUAAUGCAUGUGGGGAGCGAAACACGAGUUGGUGUGGUCCAAUCACACAGAGGUACAGUAUUCAAAUUGCUGAAUAACUUAAUGUAGGACAUGAUAGGUGUCCGAACUUUGACACGUACCACCUUCAUAG